UGGGAUUCAAAUACUUCUGAAAACCUGGGUUUCCUAAAAGCUGUGGAGAUUUUGUUGAAGUUGAUUUGCUGAUUUAUGUCUCAAUACCGUUGAAGCUAUGUUGAACUCUGUUUGGUUUGGAAUUUCGCCUUUAUUGGGCCAAUCUGUUAGUGAUGUCACUGUUUAACUAGGUCAGUUCCCAAAUUCCUUGUAUUAUGUUUUGUUGAAAUGUUGACAACUGAUUGAAUUCCUUGCUUGUUGUUGUUCUGCUGAAGUUGUUUGUUUGAACUCGUUUUGAAUUUUUUUUUCACGUUUUUUAAGAAUAUAAAGGUGUUGUUGCGGUUCAUUCGGGUUAUACCUUGUGUUGGUUUGGUGUUUACUGAUGAAUGGUGUAUAAAUCACAUUUUGUUUGACCAUACAGAAUUCAUGUUUGUUCUUGAAUUGGUUAGAAUUUCCAAAUGUUGAAUGCUACGGUUGAGUAUAUUUCGGAUAAGCUUGGGCAUUUUUAUACUUCUUUUUGAGGAACUUUUCUUUUCUUUUCUAUUUGAAGUGAACAUGUUUGGAUUAGUAAUGUUAGUUUUCUUCUACUGAAUGUUAGGGAUUUAAAGGAUAAUAACGUUUUGAGCAAAGCCAAAAUGGGUUGCAUGACUAGAUCAAAGAAUCAAUUGCAGUUUUGGUCUUAUCCUUGGAUAUUGGUUUCUACAUAACUGAUUCAAGUCUUAUUACCUAAAAUAUCACCCUUUCUCCACAAAAAUUCCAUAAAUUUGGCCGCACAGUAAUUUCUUAGAUUAGAAAAAUAAUUCAAAUGUGCUAAUUACUUUAGGCAUGAUUAAUAAUAAAUCAUCGUGACUAUAGGUACGGUUUCCGUGGCAUGGUCACAAUACGUAAAUCCCAAUUCGAGUAUGUGUUUCACGCGACUUGACCAUAACAUCAAAUAAUAAUAAAAUUAAACAUGUUGUAAACCGCGGGUACAUUUCACGUGAUGCAAUUCGCAAUAUGUUCAAAACCAAUAAGUGUGCGAUAUCGCGACUUAUUUAAAUAAACUUCAUAAAUAAUUAAAAGCAGUUUAGAAGGUUAAAAAUGCAUAAUGGGUUUUAAAUAUGUAAUAAAUCAAAUAAUUAAGCCAAUUAUUAAUAGUUGAGCGACCGUGCUAAAACCACGGAACUUGAGAGUGCCUCACACCUUCUCCCGAGUUAACAAAAUUCCUUACUUGAUCUUCUAAUUUUGUAGACUUUAAAACAUAGUCAAAUUUCCUUGAUUUUGGGAUUUUAAAAUAAACGGUGACUUGGGACACCAUAAUAACUAUUCCAAGUGGCGACUCUGAAUUAAAUAAAUAAUCUCAUUUCGAUUAAUAUCACUUCAAUUGGAAAAACUCUUUAUUCCCUCGAAAAAAAGGAGGUGUGACAGUAUCUGGAACUGUAGGAACCACUCCCAGGCCCAAACCUAAUAUACAUUGUGGACAUAAAAUUUAAGGUAUAUUUUAACUAUAUAUGUUAUAAUCAUGAAAAGAAUUGACUAUGUUUUCACCUGCAGUAGCGGCAAAACUCCGGCAACGUCUCUCUGGGUGCCCAUGCACGCCCGGCACAUCUACCUAUACAGGUAACCUAAAACAGUU
rnacentral:lncRNA from 1 species